rnacentral:rRNA from 1 species
GAUGAACGCUGGCGGCGUGCCUAACACAUGCAAGUCGAGCGAAGCGAUUUAACGGAAGUUUUCGGAUGGAAGUUAAAUUGACUGAGCGGCGGACGGGUGAGUAACGCGUGGGUAACCUGCCUCAUACAGGGGGAUAACAGUUAGAAAUGACUGCUAAUACCGCAUAAGCGCACAGCAUCGCAUGAUGCGGUGUGAAAAACUCCGGUGGUAUGAGAUGGACCCGCGUCUGAUUAGCUAGUUGGUGAGGUAACGGCUCACCAAGGCGACGAUCAGUAGCCGACCUGAGAGGGUGAUCGGCCACAUUGGGACUGAGACACGGGCCCAA